CAAUAGCGUAUAUUUAAGUUGUUGCAGUUAAAAAGCUCGUAGUUGGAUUUCGGGUGUGAACGACCGGUCCGUCUUUGAUGUGUACUGGUUGGUUGCGCCUUAUUGUCGAGGACGUGGUUCUAGCUUUCAUUAGCCGGGACACGGAGUCGGCAGCGUUACUUUGAGAAAAUUAGAGUGUUCAAAGCAGGCUAUCGCUCUGAAUACUACAGCAUGGAAUAACACGAUAGGACUCCGAGCCUAUUCUGUUGGUCUUCGGGACCGGAGUAAUGAUUAAGAGGGACAGUUGGGGGCAUUCGUACUCCGAUGUCAGAGGUGAAAUUCUUGGAUUAUCGGAAGACGAGCAUCUGCGAAAGCAUUUGCCAAGGAUGUUUUCAUUAA
rnacentral:rRNA from 1 species